rnacentral:rRNA from 1 species
CAAGAGCGUAUAUUAAAGUUGUUGCAGUUAAAAGCUCGUAGUUGGAUUUCUGGUAUAAUGCGCCUGGCCCGCGGCGGUUACGUCUGUGAGUGCCGGUGCGCGUUUACCAUCCUUCUAGAAAACGUUUCUACCCUUUACUGGGCCGGACUCGCGAUCUAGAUCUUUUACUUUGAAAAAUUAGAGUGUUUAAAGCAGGCUUUUGCUAUGAAUACAUUAGCAUGGAAUAAUAAUCUAGGACUUCGGUUCUAUUUUGUUUGGUUUUCGUUAUAACUGAAGUAAAUGAUUGAUAGGGAUAGUUGGGGGUGGCUAGUAUUGGCCGGCCGACGAGGU